rnacentral:siRNA from 1 species
AUCAACCAUUGAACCAAGGAGGCU